GGUUUUCCAGUACUUUGUCGGAUAUGUUACAGGCAGCAGAGGGAAGGGUGUCAGAGCUCAGCUGAGGUUGCCUGUGAUUACAGAUCAGUCUACGUCCGCUACAAGCAAGAAAUCUAUCAUCAGUACUUCCAUCGAAUUACGUAAUGCAAGACUAGGGGGCACCAUCAUGAAACCAAAACACCUUGAAACCCCUUUGGUUUCUGAUUGUUACUCAAAGGAGAACAGGGAGUCCGAGUGAGCUGUGCCAGUUAACCAGCUGGCACAAAUCCUUGAAGUGGAACCAGCACAGCUAAAUGCUGUGACACUGCUGCAGCCAUCUAAGGUCGAUCCCCACGUGCCACAAGUGUCAUUUUACUGGCAUUAGGUUUCCUGUGGUAAACUCUAAUGGCGGCAGCAGCGCGGGGUGUGGU